rnacentral:rRNA from 1 species
GACGGAAGGUGCAAGCGUUGCUCGGAAUCACUGGGCGUAAAGGGUGCGUAGGCGGCCGUGCAAGUCUGGCGUGAAAGCCCCGGGCUCAGCCCGGGAAGUGCGCUCGAAACUGCGCGGCUCGAGUGCCGGAGGGGAGAGUGGAAUUCCUGGUGUAGCGGUGAAAUUCGUAGAUAUUAGGAAGAACACCAGUGGCGAAGGCGGCUCACUGGCCCGGUACUGACGCUGAGACGCGAAAGCGUGGGGAGCGAACAGG